rnacentral:rRNA from 1 species
CACACCGCCCGUCACACCAUGGAAGUUGAUUGCACCAGAAGUCGGUAGCUUAACCGCAAGGGGAGCGCCGCCCACGGUGUGGUCAAUGACUGGGGUGAAGUCGUAACAAGGUACCC